rnacentral:tRNA from 1 species
AGUCCUGUGACGCAGUGGCUAGCGUGUCGUUCUUAUACUCUUCCCUCACGGGAAUUGUAUGGCCAUUGAGGUUAUGCGAAAGUCGUGGGUUCAAUCCCCACCAGGACUA